GGUUCCUUGCCUUUCCAGGACAACAAAAGUGUAACAAGAAUGAACCUGCUAAAAGGUGAAAUACAAGCACUCUAAACAAUUAAUGGGAGAACAAAAACGACUUGCUUUGCUGUGUCGACUGAGCCAUCGUAAUAAAGUGCAUUGCCGAAGGACACAUCGCAACGUAAGUAGCUAGGAAUCGAACCCUGGGUCUUCAACUCAGGCCUGGUUCUGUCAACAGUUAAUAUGCAACUUAGACACAGACGGAACGAUUACUGUUUACAGUCAGUUUUGCACAUGGAAGAAGAAGGUCGUUUGCAAAUAGAUGCGAGGGUUGAUUUUGCUUCUUAUCGAAGGAAUCCUCGAUUGUUUAUACUUGCUGAUGUUUAAUAUAUAUGGACUUAAUUAUUCUAUGCGCAUUUAGAUAUUGUGAGAUAAUACUUAAAUAGUUUUUUGAGAUUUUUGUUGAGUGAUUUAAAUCUGUAAGUUAUGCAGUUUAUAUGGCAGGGAGGUAGGCUGGUAUUAUUUGCUUAUUUAUAAUAUAGUUUGUUUCUAUUGUACGGAUAUAUCUGUGUAAUUACCGAAGGAUUUAAACAUUAAAUUGAUUAAUAGCUUUUCUAUUAUACUUUGCAUUUAUCAUAAUGACUAUUUGUUUUGUGAACUGCUACAAUUUAGUACUGGGGUUUUGGGGUGUUUAUUUGUGUGUUACUGGUGUCCACGUUGUUCCAAAUUCUCGACAUGUGGCGGUUAGGUCAGCCUCCACCAGUAUAUCUUAACUUUGUACAAUAAGAAGUUUGUUUGUUUCAAGUAUACUGUAUUAGGCCUCUGUUCACAGGGCCUCCGCAUCUGCAUUUUAAACAUAUACUUUUUAUAAUAUGUAUUUGUAUAUUGACAUUUAUGUGAAGCUGUGACCAAUUUCUGCCAACCAUUAAUCUAAACGAAAUUAGAUACCAAUUGCUUGCUAUAGUAAAAUUGUUAAUAGUAAAAGUAAUGUAUUCAUACAACUGUCUUGGGUUGUUCUUUUUAGUAUUAUUAUU